CCUCCGAUAGCUCAGUUGGCAGAGCGCGAGACUGUAAUGGGUUACCAGAGAAUCUUGAGGUCGCUAGUUCGAUCCUGGCUCGGAGGA